AUUGAACGCUGGCGGCAGGACUACCACAUGCAAGUCGAGCGAGCGGCGGACGGGUGAGUAAUGUAUGGGGACUGCCCGAUAGCGGGGGAUAACUACUGGAAACGGUGGCUAAUACCGCAUACUAUCGGAUAACCCAUAUGGGAUUAGCUAGUAGGUGGGGUAAAGGCUCACCUAGGCGACGAUCUCUAGCUGGUCUGAGAGGAUGAUCCACCACACUGGGACGGAGACACGGCCCAGACUCUUACGGAGGCAGCAGUGGGGAAUAUUGCACAAUGGGCGCAAGCCUGAUGCAGCCAUGCCGCGUGUAUGAAGAAGGCCGUAGGGUUGUAAAGUACUGUCAGCGGGGAGGCUUUACCCGCAGAAGAAGCACCGGCUAACUCCGUACCAGCAGCCGCGGUAAUAC
rnacentral:rRNA from 1 species